rnacentral:tmRNA from 1 species
GGGGACGCACUGGUUUCGACAGGUGUGUGGAACGAAGAUAAGCAUGCCGUGGCGGUGAUCCACGUAAAAAGUACCCGUUAAAAAGAAACGCAAAAACAAACAACAAUUUCGCACUCGCUGCAUAGUUCAGCACCGCGCGUCGGCCCGGAUUCACCUGCAGGUCCGGUACCCGGCGUCAUGAAUGCAGGAAACCUCUUGCGUGACCUCCCGUUAGCGUAAGAGGACCAAACGGGAUGGUCUGAUGCGAGUCCGCCGUGUGACGCCCAUCAGGCGAGAUCAAAUACCCGGCUAAGCAUGUAGAAAGUUUUCCGGAAAUAUUCUUGGACGUGGGUUCGAUUCCCACCGUCUCCACCA